UCAUAAUCGAUAACUAAUACCCUAUUUCUUUUUAGUUGUCGAAGUGAAGAGUGAAGAUCGUGGUAAAUUUUUCGAUGCUCUUUCGGCUUUAUUAGCCUAACAAGGUGUCUUCCUCCGAGCAAUGAACUCGUCCUGGCAACAGUAAGGUCAAGGAUCUAUUAUUUAUAUGUGUGGCCUUCCCAAGGCUCGUCAAUAACCAUAAUUUUAAAAUUGUUAAAUAACUUGUAAAUACACGCAUUUAAUAUUAAGAAAAUAUAUAAAUUUAAACUAAUUUCAA